CCUACGGGAGGCUGCAGUGGGGAAUAUUGGACAAUGGGGGGAACCCUGAUCCAGCCAUGCCGCGUGUGUGAAGAAGGCCCUCGGGUUGUAAAGCACUUUCAGUGAGGAAGAACGCCUGGUGGUUAAUACCCAUCAGGAAAGACAUCACUCACAGAAGAAGCACCGGCUAACUCCGUGCCAGCAGCCGCGGUAAUACGGAGGGUGCGGGCGUUAAUCGGAAUUACUGGGCGUAAAGCGCGCGUCGGUGGCUUGAUAAGCCGGUUGUGAAAGCCCCGGGCUCAACCUGGGAACGGCAUCCGGAACUGUCAAGCUAGAGUGCAGGAGAGGAAGGUAGAAUUCCCGGUGUAGCGGUGAAAUGCGUAGAGAUCGGGAGGAAUACCAGUGGCGAAGGCGGCCUUCUGGACUGACACUGACACUGAGGUGCGAAAGCGUGGGUAGCAAACAGGAUUAGAUACCCUAGUAGUC
rnacentral:rRNA from 1 species